rnacentral:rRNA from 1 species
UAACGCGUGAGGAACCUGCCUCAAAGAGGGGGACAACAGUUGGAAACGACUGCUAAUACCGCAUAAGCCCACGGCUCGGCAUCGAGCAGAGGGAAAAGGAGCAAUCCGCUUUGAGAUGGCCUCGCGUCCGAUUAGCUAGUUGGUGAGGUAAUGGCCCACCAAGGCGACGAUCGGUAGCCGGACUGAGAGGUUGAACGGCCACAUUGGGACUGAGACACAGCCCAG